rnacentral:lncRNA from 1 species
CAUCCUUCUCAUCGCCUGCGCCUCCCAGCUGGUCGCCGCCGUUCAGCAGCCCUCCUCCUCCUUCUCCCUCCUUUCCACCAACGCCGACAAAGGAAGAAGGGGCUGCCAUCGUCGGUUUGGCCUCCUGCCGGCGUCCUUUCGGUAAACCGACACCGAAAUCGGACUCCCCACCCAGAAGCGACCCUCUUUGCCGUGAAAUCCCCCGUUGGCAGCCUCGGGAAGCUUCACCGUAGCAAUACCUUUUCGGCCUCGAUCCAGGUGCCUUUCGGUCACUUUCCGACCAGAAUUCUUGUAUUUUUAGACUCCUCAC